CAGAAUCCUAAGGUGCUCGAGUGAAUCAUGGCUAAGGAACUCGGCAAAAUGGCCCUGUAACUUCAGGAGAAGGGGCGCCCCCUGUGAGGGGGGCCGCAGUGAAGAGGCCCAGGCGACUGUUUAACAAAAACACAAGGCUUUGCAAAGUUUAACGACUAAGUAUAAGGCCUGACACCUGCCCGGUGCUGGAAGGUUAAGAGGGGAUGUUAGCGUAAGCGAAGCAUUGAAUCGAAGCCCCAGUAAACGGCGCCCGUAACAAUAACGGUCCUAAGGUAGCGAAAUUCCUUGUCGGGUAAGUUCCGACCUGCACGAAUGGUGUAACGAUCUGGGCGCUGUCUCAGCCAUGAGCUCGGUGAAAUUGUAGUCACGGUGAAGAUGCCGUGUACCCGCAACGGGACGGAAAGACCCCAUGCACCUUUACUGCAGCUUAGUAUUGGUACUGGGCAAACGAUGUGUAGGAUAGGUGGGAGACUGUGAGCUGGGUCCGCUAGGAUUUGGGGAGUCGCCGUUGAAAUACCACCCUUUGUUUGCUUGGUAUCUAACCCUGAAUGGGGGACAUUGCUUGGUGGGUAGUUUGACUGGGGUGGUCGCCUCCAAAAGGAUAACGGAGGCUUCCAAAGGUUCCCUCAGUACGCUUGGUAACCGUACGAGGAGUGCAAUAGCAUAAGGGAGCUUGACUGUAAGGCCGACAAGCCGAGCAGGGUGGAAACACGGGUAUAGUGAUCCGGCGGUUCUGAAUGGAAGGGCCGUCGCUCAAAGGAUAAAAGGUACGCUGGGAUAACAGGCUGAUCUCCCCCAAGAGCUCAUAUCGACGGGGAGGUUUGGCACCUCGAUGUCGGCUCGUCACAUCCUGGGGCUGGAGAAGGUCCCAAGGGUUCGGCUGUUCGCCGAUUAAAGUGGCACGCGAGCUGGGUUCAGAACGUCGUGAGACAGUUCGGUCCCUAUCUGUUGCGGGCGUGGGAAGUUUGCGAGGACCUGACCUUAGUACGAGAGGACCGGGUUGGACUGACCGCUGGUGUACCGGUUGUGGUGCCAACUGCAUUGCCGGGUAGCUACGUCGGGACGAGAUAAGCGCUGAAAGCAUCUAAGUGCGAGACUCACCUCAAGAUGAGACUUCCAUAAAGGGCCCUAGGAGACUACUAGGUUGAUAGGCUGCAGGUGUAAAGUCAGUAAUGGCAUAGCUGAGCAGUACUAAUUGCCC
rnacentral:rRNA from 1 species